UCCUCUCCCUUCCUCCUCUCCCCAACCCUCCCUUUCCCCACCGCCGGGCUUUUCCCCCCUGCUCUUGGCGCUGAAGAUCGGAGCCUCCCCCGCUUCCAAAUGGCGAUUUCUGUUGAACUUACUGUACCUUGUCAUGGCACCCAAAUUGCUGUUUGAUGUUUGAAUGCAAAUGCUUGGAACUGACAACACAACGCACCCCAAAACUGAGUUGGUAUUGAACAGUGUAGGAUGUGUCCGACGGCUCCCGUGGUUUUUACCAGUUAUUGAACUGGGAAAGGUCGGGUUGUGGGGGUUGAUUGGAAUUUUUUUGUAGCUUCUUUCUGUUGCUACUGUAAUUUCAUUGACUGUUUCGCCUCCGUG